rnacentral:sRNA from 1 species
CACACACACACACAACAUGCACAGAUACAUGUAUGCCUCCCCUCUAACAAGCACAGAAGCCUUUUCAGAUUUCUUCCUUGAAGGGAAGAGGCAUGCCCUCAGCCCUGAGGGAAGGAGCCAAAAAGCCUGUUUUUUGUUAGUUCUGGGCCUGCUGGCAAUGAGCCACCUGUGGGCUCCCUCUUUUGUCCCCCAAAAAUGUGAGCUGUCUGCACUGGUUACAAGUGGGAGAUGAGGACAUUGGGGAGCAGCACUUUUGGCCAGGGAUGUUGGUGGGAGGAAGGAGGCGGGUAAGAGGAGGGAGGGCUUCUUAAAAAUGUAUUCCCCUGAAGCCAGCAGGACUGCACACACACUUCCGCUAAGCCUGUUUCCCUAAGUCCCCCCAUGCCACUCAAGCGCGUAACUCAGAAGAGAGGCUUCCUUUGCUCCCUACCGAAUCACGUUUUCUUGGGUGGAUGUUAAGACAACGGGCAAAAACGAGCUAAAGUUUGGCAGUCUCCAGCCGUAUGUGGGAAUGCCACACGUGACCUCUGGGUCAUGUUCCAUGGUCAUUUAUUCUACUUCUGGAGGGAGCUAUUAGGAAAUCAAACCCCAGGAAGAUUUGGGACAAGCAUGGCCCUGGGACCCAUGUGCCAGGAAGCUGAUAAGGAUGUUCAGGAUUCUCUCCGUCAGAGCCUACGAGAAGUUCAAACCUCACACACCCCCUGUUCAUGUGCUAGGACCAUCCUCUACCUGUGAGCCCCAGAGACACCAGAUGGUGGGAGUGAGGCGCUGCCAUGUACUUUGAAUACCAGCCACAGGCAUUCAUAGGUAAUGGCAUCUUCUUGACUCUGGACUAGAUUAUGUAAAUGGUGUGUUUCAGGAGCAAGACAGUGGUUAGCAGGGCGUAAGAUAGAUGCCCUGCAGUGCUUGGCAAACUGCGCUUAUUCCGUGCCAAAUCUUUCUGUUGUGUUUCACACAGAGCAACCAAGGUCUCCAGACUUCUCCAGAUCAACCCAUUGUCUUGAGCCUGAGGUCUGUUGUUCCCUCCCCAACAUCCCCCAACCCCAUGUCAUCAACUGGUAACAGAUUCAAGCAGUCAAGCCUCACUGAUGUCAGCACAGAAGGUCGGGAGGACAGGGGUCUCACCUGUCAAUUUUCACUGGAAAGUUGGAAAGUGUCAGAAUGUGGGUUUACUUUCAGAAGGAUGGUUUUCUCUCUGGACCCUUGUGUUUUUGUAAGAGCACAGGGUUUGAUGAACCCCAGGAGAUAAGAAAAGUAUUGAUUAGCCAAGAAUGUCAACUCAGCUAGAAGAGAAGAAGCCAUACUACCCGGUGGCCAACUUGCUUCAGGAGGGUGCAGGGAUAGAACAGAACAGAUUGCCUGGUCUACAAGGAGUUCUUACUGUCAGACAUAAAUGGAUACCACUCUCCUGAGAGAAACAGGGUUUUUUCAAAUAAAACCAAAGUUCCCCAAGGCAAGCCCAGUGGUUGAACUUUUCCUCGAAUAUCCCAUUCCUGGGAGGAGUGAGGCAUAAGGGAAGGUCAGUAUCACCAUCUGGUCUCCAGCUGAUUUGGCAAGAAAAACAUAGCAGCGAUGUUGGCCUUUAAUGCAACUGACUGCUGUUGGCUCUCACAUGAAAAUGAAUUAGGAGAGCCAAAUUUUAUAAUUGCUGGUGAAUCUGUUGAUGGUCAGCGUUGAAACUUCUAUGACUCCUUUCUUCCCAUUUAUCACCAUUUGUCGUAUUCUGCACCCCAGGAUUUGGGGAGGAUGACCAGAUGGAAAUCAGACUACAGUCAUUGAGCAGGUAAAAAAACAGAUGGCCAUGUAAGGAGAAAGACAGAAGGCUUCAGGGUGGGACAGAAGCUCUGACCAGGGAACCAACCUUCCCAUCCCAGGCUCCAAGGCCUAGUCAGAGUCAAGCUGGAUGGUCCAAGAACUGAUAGAGCUCAACCUGGCCCCUCUGCCAUUGUCAAGGACAAGUCACAUGACACCUUUGUUGAUCUGACGGGGAAGAGUAAGAUAGCACAGCAAAGGGAGACAAAGGCUUCUGGUAACCAUGCUCCAAUGUGAUGGUUUGUAUAUGCUUGAG